CCAUUUAUCCAUCCUCCAUCCACCUACACAUCCAUCCACCUAUAUCCCUCCUCCAUCCAUCCAUCCAUCCAUCCUCCAUCCACCCACCCAUCUAUCUACCCCCUCAUCCAUCCACUCAUCCCUCCCUCUAAUGCUUGUGUUUACUCUGUCAUAGGUGAGGUUACCAGGCAAAGGCAAACCCAGUCCCUGGUCUUGACCUUUUUGCAGAUCUCUAGCCCUAGAACUGUGUGCUGACUUUCCUCAAUCUUUGUUGCCUUGUUGGUAGGGGAAGCAGAGGUGAUGACAGGCGGCAACCACACAGUGUGGAAACUGGGUUGGAUAGAGGGAAGAAGGACAGGGCUGUGGGAGCCCAGGGUCCAGGCCUGGAGGUCAUACAAGAUCAAGAGGGGACACAUGAGAUGAAUCUAGAAGCAUCUGAAGGAGGUACAGCCAGGGCAAGGGGGUGGGGAGGAUUAUAAGGAGUUGAGUCAAGCUGGGCCAGGGCCAAGUGUGUGCUGUGGAGGCUGGAGGAGUCACAGGUGCCAGAUCUGGGCCAGCCUGGGGAGCCAGGGUGUGGGAGUGGGGGCAGCUCUGGGGCCAGGGUCUGGCUGGGUUUGACACUUUGGCCUUUCACUCAGGCCCUCUGUGCAGGCUGAGGUCAGUUAAGAAACACACGCCCAUCCUCCCCUCCAUCUAUCCAUCCAUCCACACACCCACCCAUCUACCAUCCUCCAUCCACCCACUCACUUAUCCAUCCAUCUAGAAAGGACGCUAAACACACCCAUUUCCUGGUCCCCUGAGAGUGCCCUGUGGGGUGAGGCAGAGAAGGAACCCUCACGGAGGGUCCUCUGCCCUGGUCCCUGCUGCCCUGCCCUGGGUCGCCGGCCUCGAGGACCCCCACUCAAACCCCCCUUGUUCCCAGGGAGCUCCCUUCUCACAUCACAGCAGGCUGAACCCAGCUAAGGCCCCCGGUUCGAGGGCAUCAUUUUGCAGAGACAAAGGAAAGAGCGCGAGGGGGGCUGGAGCAAACCGGCCUCCAGAAGGACUGUCUGGAAAGGGCCGGGGGCCGAGGGGGAAGAAGGGACGUAGCUGCCGACGGGCGGAGGGCUCCAGUCCUGCUGUGGUCACCUCAGAGACGGCGGCUAAGUGCCUCACAAACCCGGCGUCCUGAGACUUGACUCCUGGCUGUGUGACCCCAGGUCUCAAAUCCCGCUGGUGGCGACCUUCCAGUUGGCGCUGGGGAGGAGCGAUUUCGGCCACCUGCUCAGACGGCAGCUUUGGGGUGACAAGCUGUUGUCAGAAGCUUCUAACAAGCCUGGGGUGUCAGCCGGCCAAAGGACCACCUGGACGGGGCUGGGAUAACCGGGUCCCUCUCAAAGGCUCCCAAGUGGCACGCAGGUGUACCUCCCCCCGCGUUGAACCCGAGGAUGCUGGGUGCAGACAGGAGAUCAUGCUCGGCCGUCAGCGGGGAACUGGAGCGUCGGAUCUGUCUUAAACGCAGGGCCCCAGACAGCUGGGCAUUACGACUCCAGGCACGUGGGUGCUCCUGUUGAUUUACUGAACGCGUCUGGACUCUUCCCCACGCUCUGCAGAGAUUUGAAGGGGUCAAAGAACAAGUUUGUCUUGUUAUAGGCAAACCCCCCCCCCACACACACACACAAAAACAACCCAAUAAACAAGAUCCAACGCACACAUGAUUUCUGGAGUCAGAAGGGACCCACCGUUUGUGGCUUUACUAGCCGUGCGUCCUGGGGCAAGUUAUUCGCCCCCCGGGGCCUCGGUUUUCUCGUCUGUACAAUGGGUGCAUGCAGAGCCUUCAUGGUGAGGGUCUAGAGAGGGUGAAAUUAGGUCGUGGGAUAAUAAAAUACCUUUGCUGUUCAA